rnacentral:siRNA from 1 species
UUGCUCUUGUCAGAUAAUAUGUAC